rnacentral:rRNA from 1 species
GUAGUCUGCAACCCGACUACAUGAAGCUGGAAUCGCUAGUAAUCGCGGAUCAGAAUGCCGCGGUGAAUACGUUCCCGGGUCUUGUACACACCGCCCGUCACACCAUGGGAGUCGGAAAUGCCCGAAGUCUGUGACCCAACCUUAGGGAGGGAGCAGCCGAAGGCAGGUCGGAUGACUGGGGUGAAGUCGUAACAAGGUACC